GGGAAUGUGGCUUAGUGGUAGAGUGCUUGCCUAGCAUGCAUGAAGUCCUGGUUCGAUUCCUCAGUACCA
rnacentral:tRNA from 1 species